AUCUGUGAAGUCUCCUCUUAUGUUGAUUAUGGUCAAGAAGAGCUUGGAAGACCCACGACGCGACAGUCUAGCGAGCACCUCAACACACUUGGAUUUCAAGCAAGAAGUAUGCCAUUACGCUCUGGCACCUUCAAGACUCAGUUUGUGACAGUGUUCAGCGUCAAGAUGCCUUCAUAACAGGAGCAAGUGUACCUCAAGACCCUUUUUUGCAUAAUAAAAUGUAUAAAGGCACCACCAUA